rnacentral:rRNA from 1 species
GAUGAACGCUGGCGGCGUGCCUAAUACAUGCAAGUCGAGCGAACAGACGAGGAGCUUGCUCCUCUGACGUUAGCGGCGGACGGGUGAGUAACACGUGGAUAACCUACCUAUAAGACUGGGAUAACUUCGGGAAACCGGAGCUAAUACCGGAUAAUAUAUUGAACCGCAUGGUUCAAUAGUGAAAGACGGUUUUGCUGUCACUUAUAGAUGGAUCCGCGCCGCAUUAGCUAGUUGGGAAGGUAACGGCUUACCAAGGCAACGAUGCGUAGCCGACCUGAGAGGGUGGUCGGCCACAUGGGAGCUGAGACACGGUCCAGACUCCUAAGGGAGGCAGCAGUAGGGAAUCGGCCGCAAUGGGCGAGAGCCUGACGGAGCAACGCGGCGUGAGUGAUGAAGGUCUUCGGAUCGUAAAACUCUGUUAUUAGGGAAGAACAACUGUGUAAGUAACUAUGCACGUCUUGACGGUACCUAAUCAGAAAGCCACGGCUAACUACGUG